UCUACAGAAUAGAGGUCCUCUGGUUUGGUCAAAAUUAACUUUUUGUGUAUACUGUCUGAGAGGAGAAGGGUUGGGCACUGCAACUUGAUUCAUUCCAAAAGAAGGUGUAGAAUAUUUGUUUGUGUUGACACUGAAAGACAUAGAAUCAGGAUUGAACUGGGAAAUAGACUGGACUUGUCUUUGUUUCUCAGUUGGGCACUACAACUUGAUUCAUUCCAAAAGAAGGUGUAGAAUAUUUGUUUGUGUUGACACUGAAAGACAUAGAAUCAGGAUUGAACUGGGAAAUAGACUGGACUUGUCUUUGUUUCUUAUCAUUGAGGAGUAUGUUAUAGACACUGUCGAGGGUAGGGGGAGGCUGCAUCAUCAGCAAGUUGCUCCGGGGGACAAGUACCAUCAACAAAACCAAUUUUAUUCUUAGCAGACAAGGACACUAUCAUUUUCCUCUUCCAACCCCCAUAACCGCUACCCAAAAAGGGAGUAGGAACAAGUGAAACACCAGGAACAUCAGAAGAGUAAACAAAGAGAGGGCUCGUAGAAUCAAUGGGUGAAGCAUUAUUAGGAUUCAUAUUUAUCAUCAGAAACAAAACAACAGUGAUGUAGAGAGAGUGAUUUAAUUUCUGUGAACGACUCGACACACAAGAUUUUUCACCAGAAACACAUGCAAGUUCCUAACGAAAGUGAGAAUAGGGUUACCCGAAUUCUAUGCUACCGGAGAAGAACAACCUUCAAAUGUGCAGAGAAAACCCUAACUCUAUUCAGUGCAAAUCCAACGUGAAAGGUGUCGGAAGUUAGCCUAAACACCGAGCUUGAGAAAACAUCAACAAGCGAGACUGAAAAGACUGAAAAUAUCUCCGAUUCACAGUUUAGCUGCUGAAAUCGCACAAAAUCCAGAAUCACCGGUGAUACCUCAACAGUACUGGACCGGAACGACGAAGAACAGAGAGGAGGCGUCCGAAAAAAACCAUGCUCUGAUACCAUGAAAACAUGGAGAAUCAGAGAUGGAGAGAAAGAGAGAGAUUCUCAUUUCCUUCAGAGAACUCUCUAGAACCACAAAUGAG
rnacentral:lncRNA from 1 species